AAAAUAUAUUUUAAACUAAGAACUAUUUAUCCCUAAAAUUAUAUCUAAUCUCAUUUAAAAUAUAAAAUAUUAAUUUAAGAUAUUUUAAAAUAUAUUUUAGCAUCUUAACAGAUUCUGCUUCCAGCACAUAAGAGUUAUUUCUUGGUGUUAUUUCACACUCAGUCUUUUCAUAUUUAUUAGGAGCUAAUCUAAUACAUACAGAAAGAUGCAUGGAAUGACAUUCUGUACAUGGAAGAAGAAUCACACAAAGGGGAUAUUAAAGUACCAAUCCACCAUUUGUUCCAACACAGUUAUAUCCCUAUAAUUAAGUUACUAAUACAAAGACCUCAAAACAGAAAAGCUAUGAAUGAUCAAACAGCUCCCCCCAUACUUGACCGUUAAUUUGCAUUCAUCACCCGAAACCUCGACGGCUAAGUUACGUAGGCAAGCUAAACAUGUCAUAUGAGUGUUUCUUAGGUGAGCAUCGAUUACUUUUUGUGUCCAUAGACAUACAUAACAAAGAGGACGAACGCCGCCUACAUCUUGCCAAAGGAGUAGAAUGAAUCGGAGAUGUGUCACUUGGGACCCUUUCUUUGUUGGCAGAGAAAGACUAAUGCCUAAUCCUUUCGUCCUUUGUAAAGAUGCUGCUGUUUUCUACGGUUCGCAUAUAAUAAAUAAAUCAAAAAUAAUUUCAAGUGGAUGAAAAUUAAGGAAAAGUCUUAGACGUUAAAAAGAGAUAACCUGUAAGGAUAAAGUACGAACAGUUGUAAUAGAAAUUUGAGGCCACUGCAAACGUCGCCAUUAAUCCUUUGAAUUGUCCAUACGGAGAGGUGGUGGGAGACGAAAGGUAUCAGAUAUGUGAGAGGGGACUAUGUCGAGUUAUUGGACGUCUCUCAACAUCUUGAGCUUGUGAUGAAGGCCCGGCAAAGCCACGUGUGAAGGAAAGCAGACGCCCUUUGGUAGCAUCGAAAGCAACAAGAUGGAUGAACGUCGUCUCACCACUGGAGAGGUCGGCAAUGGAUUCAUGACCUCUGGUCCUAGCAAUACUCAUCAUGGGUCCCUUCGUAAUCCUAAUCCAUUUAGAAUCAUCGUCUAAUCCAAUCCAAGCAAACCAUUCAUGUCUAGUUUCUUUAACUUGUUGUUGUUGCCAUAAUUGAUUCCAC
rnacentral:lncRNA from 1 species